GGACUACUGGGGUUUCUAAUCCUGUUCGCUCCCCAUGCUUUCGCUCCUCAGCGUCAGUUACAGCCCAGAGACCUGCCUUCGCCAUCGGUGUUCCUCCUGAUAUCUGCGCAUUCCACCGCUACACCAGGAAUUCCAGUCUCCCCUACUGCACUCUAGUCUGCCCGUACCCACCGCAGAUCCGGGGUUAAGCCCCGGACUUUCACGACAGACGCGACAAACCGCCUACGAGCUCUUUACGCCCAAUAAUUCCGGAUAACGCUCGCACCCUACGUAUUACCGCGGCGGCUGGCAC
rnacentral:misc_RNA from 1 species